rnacentral:rRNA from 1 species
CAAUAGCGUAUAUUAAAGUUGUUGCGGUUAAAAAGCUCGUAGUUGGAUUUCUGCUGAGAACGACCGGUCCGCCCUUUGGGUGUGUAUCUGGCUCUUUCUUGGCAUCUUCUUGGUGAACGUUGCUGCACUUGACUGUGUGGAGCGCUACCCAGGACUUUUACUUUGAGGAAAUUAGAGUGUUUCAAGCAGGCAUACGCCUUGAAUACAUUAGCAUGGAAUAAUAAGAUAGGACCUCGGUUCUAUUUUGUUGGUUUCUAGAGCUGAGGUAAUGAUUAAUAGGGAUAGUUGGGGGCAUUCGUAUUUAACUGUCAGAGGUGAAAUUCAGAGAUUUGUUCAAGACGAACAACUGCGAAAGCAUUUGCCAAGGACGACCCCAUUAA